AUAGAUCACAGGCAAACUUAUAUAUUCACAAUUAUCUCAAGGUAAUGAAGCAAUUGCUAUCUAUACAUGGAUUUGUAUGCAUAGCAGAAAUCGAGCAUGUACUGAAAUCGAAACAGUAGAACAAGUACAUCAUCUGUUCUUAUCAAAUUUGGCAAUAUAAGCAAAAGAACUUAAACCUCAUAAAUCACAUAACUAAUGCCUGGGCAAUA
rnacentral:misc_RNA from 1 species